rnacentral:pre_miRNA from 1 species
GAUUUGAAUGUGAGAAUUGGAGGAAAUCAAAGCAAUUGCAAUCAAACAUUGCCUUGGUUUCCUCCAAUAUCUCACCUUCAGUGC